rnacentral:rRNA from 1 species
AACGAACGCUGGCGGCAUGCCUAACACAUGCAAGUCGAACGAGACCUUCGGGUCUAGUGGCGCACGGGUGCGUAACGCGUGGGAAUCUGCCCUUGGGUUCGGAAUAACAGUUAGAAAUGACUGCUAAUACCGGAUAAUGUCUUCGGACCAAAGAUUUAUCGCCCAGGGAUGAGCCCGCGUAGGAUUAGCUAGUUGGUGAGGUAAAGGCUCACCUAGGCGACGAUCCUUAGCUGGUCUGAGAGGAUGAUCAGCCACACUGGGACUGAGACACGGCCCAGACUCCUACGGGAGGCAGCAGUGGGGAAUAUUGGACAAUGGGCGAAAGCCUGAUCCAGCAAUGCCGCGUGAGUGAUGAAGGCCUUAGGGUUGUAAAGCUCUUUUGGCGGGGACGGAUAAUGACGGUACCCGCAGAAUAAGCCCCGGCUAACUUCGUGCCAGCAGCCGCGGUAAU